AGUAUGUUACUAGAGAGUGUCAAUAUACUUCAUUCCCAAAUAAGCUUGUCAUAUAAUUAUUCUAAGCUUUUUCUUCCAUGAUUCUUUAAUUUCAUGUAUCUGGUCAUCAUAUGGGGUUGCUAUGGCAACUUCUCUAUACCCUUUAUCACGGGGUUACGUGACCAUUAAUGAUUGUCAAUAGCAUAUUUGGGUUGAAGUAGAAUAUCAAAGAUAGAAAUCUUAUGUAGAUGGAGAUAAAUAUAGGGUUAUUUAAUGUUUAAUCCCAAGGGAAGAGAACUUGACUACUUCAGAAGUGAUAGCAUCGACUUUGACCUUCUGACCCUCUGCUGUUAUAUAAUUCAGGCCAAGUUGGCUCCUCAUCUUUGUAUAUAAAAUCAUCUCCUCCUCCAGAGACUCCAGCUGGAAGCUCGGCACUGGUGCAUCUGCUUUCUGUGAAAUAUCCUGGACAUCUUUUGCUUUUGGCUAGGCCGAUGCAGGCUAAGAUGCCCUCAAAAGCCACGGGGAGUGAGAGUGUGAUACUUACAGUUGCCAUGCGAAAUACUGAUCGGCUCAGAAUCUUCUGGGAAACCAGCCCCAGCGCAGCGUAGCAGUGUGAGACACAGCAGUAAGGCUGCUGGCCUCAUAGUAGGUUCAGCGGAGAGGCUUACUUCUCUACUUCACCCUGCCAAAGAGCAAAGGAGCCUGCUUACUUUUCAUUUCUCUUUUGCAAGUCAGCUUCAUUCAGUUCAAUAAAAUGCAAUGGUCUUAAGAUAACUCAAGACAA